rnacentral:rRNA from 1 species
CAGCCGCCGCGGGAAUACGAAGGGGGCUAGCGUUGUUCGGAUUUACUGGGCGUAAAGCGCACGUAGGCGGAUUCUUAAGUCAGGGGUGAAAUCCCAAGGCUCAACCUUGGAACUGCCUUUGAUACUGGGGAUCUCGAGUCCGGGAGAGGUGAGUGGAACUGCGAGUGUAGAGGUGAAAUUCGUAGAUAUUCGCAAGAACACCAGUGGCGAAGGCGGCUCACUGGCCCGGUACUGACGCUGAGGUGCGAAAGCUAGGGGAGCAAACAGGAUUAGAUACCCCUGUAGUCCCUGUCUCUUAUAC